UCUGGUUAUUAAUGGUUAAAAAAUAUUGAAUACCGAAGAAAUUGUGAAAAAUAACAUUCCUGAAAUGACCAAUUUAUUACACUAUUGAUGGAUGUUAAAAAAUUUUUUGCAGGAAAGCAUUACAGUAUGUUUACCUUAAAGUCAGAGUCAAAUCCAGAAAGAUAAUAUAAAUUUGACACCCAGUGAGUACUGAUUGCUAGGCCACAAAGAAAUGUGACAGUUAUUGCCUUGCUAUAGAAGUUCCUCCCAUACAUUAGCCAAGAUCAAGCCAUGGACUGAUGCUUGCUGGACAAGUUGUUUAACAUUUGAUAGAGGAUCUUCAUGUGAAUUGAUACUGUGACAUUAAACAUUGUAUAUCUAUGGCAACUGAUUGCUACGGAGUUGUGUGCUGGGCAGUGCCAUGUGGGGGACUGGUAGAUUUAGCAUGUUGAUUGAUGUGUUGCAUGCAAAAAAGAUACAU